UCUUUACGUUCUAUGUUCACAUUCCGCCAAGAUCGUCUUUGUCUUCCAUCCAUUCAAGAUUGAUAACUAAG